rnacentral:rRNA from 1 species
GAGUUUGAUCCUGGCUCAGGAUGAACGCUGGCGGCGUGCUUAACACAUGCAAGUCGAACGAAGCACUUUAUUUGAUUUCCUUCGGGACUGAUUAUUUUGUGACUGAGUGGCGGACGGGUGAGUAACGCGUGGGUAACCUGCCUUGUACAGGGGGAUAACAGUUGGAAACGGCUGCUAAUACCGCAUAAGCGCACAGCAUCGCAUGAUGCAGUGUGAAAAACUCCGGUGGUAUAAGAUGGACCCGCGUCUGAUUAGCUAGUUGGUGAGAUAACAGCCCACCAAGGCGACGAUCAGUAGCCGACCUGAGAGGGUGACCGGCCACAUUGGGACUGAGACACGGCCCAGACUCCUACGGGAGGCAGCAGUGGGGAAUAUUGCACAAUGGAGGAAACUCUGAUGCAGCGACGCCGCGUGAGUGAAGAAGUAAUUCGUUAUGUAAAGCUCUAUCAGCAGGGAAGAUAGUGACGGUACCUGACUAAGAAGCUCCGGCUAAAUACGUGCCAGCCGCCGCGGUAAUUC